UGUUCCACUUUACCACUGUCCCACCCCCAAAACUGGCUCCGGCCCCGGCCGGCCCGAGAUCUCCUGACUCUGAUCGAACACGGAGAGGGGCGCCCCUCGCCCGUGUUUGGUCGGAUGUGGGGGACUCGGUGUGUACAUUUUUUGGGGAAACUCCAUGUACAAACAUUGGAUGGCGCAAUGCAUCAACACUUCGAAAUUUGACUGAGUAUAUGAUACCAAGGAGAACGACCGCGGUUUGAGGGUCACCACUCACCCACAGCCACCCCCCCCACUCCUACCCGGGACGCCGGCGUGGAGUGGAGUGGGAGUGGCAGUGGAGUGCGCGGUGCCCCUCAAAACCCCGGGAGUUCGAGUUGUGUUUAAGUGAUAAACAAAAACAACUCUCAGCAACGGAUAUCUUGGCUCCUGCAACGAUGAAGAACGCAGCGAAAUGCGAUACGUAGUGUGAAUUGCAGAAUUCCGCGAAUCAUCGAGUCUUUGAACGCAAGUUGCGCCCGAGACGAAAGUGUCGGGCAUUUCUGGCAGAGCGUCACCGCGCCACCCACCGCGACCCCCCACUCGCAUGGAGUGCGGGCCGAAUGGAACUGGCCGUCCCGACUGUUGUGCGAACCCGCCGCUGCUGCUCCCUCGCGAGUGGUGGCGGUGGUGGCGACUGCGACUGGGUCGGCUGAAAUGGAGGGAAUCCUUGGCCCCGCCGCGGCGACACAGCCCGCGAUCAGGUGAGAUUCCCGCGAGGGAAUUUAGUGUUGGUUGGCUGUGCCGUCCCC
rnacentral:rRNA from 1 species